rnacentral:rRNA from 1 species
CCUACGGGUGGCAGCAGUGGGGAAUAUUGGACAAUGGGCGAAAGCCUGAUCCAGCCAUGCCGCGUGUGUGAAGAAGGCCUUCGGGUUGUAAAGCACUUUCAGUGGGGAAGAAAGCCUUGGGGCUAAUACCCUCGAGGAAGGACAUCACCCACAGAAGAAGCACCGGCUAACUCCGUGCCAGCAGCCGCGGUAAUACGGAGGGUGCGAGCGUUAAUCGGAAUUACUGGGCGUAAAGCGCGCGUAGGCGGUCUGAUAAGCCGGUUGUGAAAGCCCCGGGCUCAACCUGGGAACGGCAUCCGGAACUGUCAGGCUAGAGUGCAGGAGAGGAAGGUAGAAUUCCCGGUGUAGCGGUGAAAUGCGUAGAGAUCGGGAGGAAUACCAGUGGCGAAGGCGGCCUUCUGGACUGACACUGACGCUGAGGUGCGAAAGCGUGGGCAGCAAACAGGAUUAGAUACCCCGGUAGUC